rnacentral:lncRNA from 1 species
UUAAAACUCAUACCCAAAUUACCAUAAUUUAACCACACCACAUUUCUUCCUAUAAAAACCCUUCCAUCACAAAACUUUAUUCUCCAUCCCUGCUUCAUAAACAAAAACCAUUUCACUUUUCUUCUCUUCACAAAAAGAAAAAAUGUCUUCGUCCAACAAAUCCUUUUCACUUGCUCUCUUCUUCUGUCUCAACCUAAUUCUCUUCUCUUCUCUUGCUAUUGCUCAACCAAUUGUACCAGCAUCGAGCCCGACCCCCAAUUGCUCCCGCAAUGUACGUGUAUGUGCAAGUGUACUUAAUAUUGUUAAUCUAACCAUUGGCAAUAACCUAGGUCCAUGUUGUCAAUUGAUUCAAGGGCUAGUAGCUGCUGAGGUUGAUAUUUGUUUACAGACUGCCAUAAGUAAUGAACUUAGAGCAAGUCUUUCAGGCCUACCCCCUGUGAACCUAUCCGUUGAGUCGUUCGUGCUCCGUAUAUUGCUCAGCAGAUGCAACAGAGCUACCUGAUUUAAGUUUAUCUUCUAAUUAGUCUAUACAACUUCAAGAUGAGAAAAUAAAAUAAAAUAAGAAGUUGUAAUGCUUUAUUUUAUGUAUGCACUUAUGUUCUUUUAGUUCAAUAAGUUUGGAGCGUAAGUAUGAAGGUUAGGAUUGAAACACCAUCAACCUUGAAGUUGAAGGUACAUAGAUAUGGAUAUCUUAACAAUUAAGACUAUACUCUCUUCUUCUUCGUCUUUUUUUUUUCUUCAUGUAAUUUGGGCAAGCUAAUAUUAUGAAAUAAAACUAAUGUUGUUGCACGUGUUUAUUUAUAUUUACCAAUAUAUAAAAGCAUAUUGUUUAUCUAACAUAUUGAUAUAAUACUUUAAAUUUUAAUUGGUGUUAGAUAUAUUUUGAUACACUUAUGUCUUACAUAUAGACAUAUUUGUUGAUUAAUUAUAAAUACUCUCAUAUCUUAUAUAUGAUAUAUACUACCAUGUGUAACACUCUAUAUUGCUUUAUGAAAUGAUUUGUGUAUACAUGAUAAUCGUCAACUCUACAAGCAUCAACAUAGAGGACUACCAUGUUGUGCAUAGAGAAACCUAGAAUAUCUACCAUAUCCUGAAGGUAUUUUUCACUUAGAUCGUCACAUGCACAUCAGGAGCGUGUGCUCCCCUAAGAAAGGAAAAAACCUGUAUGGAGAGAAUAAGAAAAAUGAUAGAGAAGAAGGUAAAUAAUAAAAGACUAUAAUUUGUUAUAUUUUCUCUAAUGGUAAUAAUGCGAGAAUCAAGGGAGAAUUAGUUGUUUCCAAUUUUGUGGUUAUGAUUUUCAUAUUUGUUGCAAUCAAUAGGGACGAUACUUUCCAUUGGAACUAAUGAGGUUUGGACUCAUAUGUUCUUUUACAAAUGGAACGUCGUAAAGCCAUUUCACUGUGAUCAAGAACUAACUUGAUCAUCCACGCGAUCUCCUUAUCCUCCUUCUUUCAAUAUUCAACAACUAUGGCAGAAGAUAUAAUUUGUCACGUACCGCUCCAAAUGCCACUUCAUGCAACCAGAUGGAGGCGUGUCACCUAGACACUCAACGUGUCUCACACCAUGUGAUAAACGUAGUAUGCAAAACAACUUGUUAAACCAGUCUUAUCGCAGAGCUCCAAUUUUGAACUCAAGAGACAUUUUCAAUACAAUGUAGCAGAAAAUAACUUAAGCAAUCAACUUAACUCUCUUAAGCUUAGCUUUAUCUUCUAGUCUUCAAUACUUAGCUCAAUUUGACUCUCGAUCAACUACUAAGCGAUAAGCACAAUACAAUAAUGCAUCGCAAAUACAUAAACAUAACAUCUUUUAUUACUUGAACCAAUGCUUUAUACAAUUGCAUUUUCCUUUCUUCCUUAGUUGUUUCCCUACGUAUUCAAGACAUUUAGGAGUAUAAUUACUCAUUUAUUACAAGGAAAUACAAUACAAAAGAGCUAACUUUCUUAGCUUUCAAGUAUAGUAACUCAUCUUAACUUUCUCCAGUUGUCCUCAACGUCUGAAUAUCUAACACUACAAGAAUUUUGGUUUUUGCCAAUGCAUGAAAACGUUGACAGAUCUUAAGAAAGAUGUGGACGGUGCUUCUGCUGACAUUUUCUUUCUUUUUUUUUUCUACGUGGGCAUGCAUCGUGAUCAAAUCCGAUUGUCUUUUUCUUUACCCACGUCUUGAAUUAGAACAUUUAUUAAUUAGUUACUUAUUUUUAAACUUAUAAUCGUGUACAUGUUAAAGAUUUGAUGGGAUCCAUAAAUAACUAAAUCAUUUCUUUUUAUUCUUUAAAAUUAUUUUGAUUUCUCUGUCUUAAUUAUUAAUUAGUGUUUGGUUUUAUCAUCUGAACAAAUUAUAAUUUUAACAUGCAUGUACCUAACACUAUAAUCUAUAAUCUUUAAUUUUUACUUGAAAAAGUUACCAAAUAAGUUAGUACUCUCAAGGGUUUUAGUAUUACUUUUACUUCCCCCACUACUAAUUUCUCUCUCAUUUAAUUGAAAGUGUUACCCAUUCUAUAUUAAUUACGAUAAUACUGUUUGCCUAACUCAGGAAACACUUUUUUUAUAAUAUUAAAACUUAAGUAUGUGAUUACUAUUCAAACAUUUGACUUUCCUAAAACAGCCAAUAAUGGGUUUAAUUAAGUAGCCAUUAUCUCAUUUCAACCAUUCAAAAACCACACUUAUUACUAGCAAUUGAGGGGGGUUUGGUGACCCUAGUAGAAAAUAUAAGUAAUUAGUUUGCAACACAACCUAGUUCAUAGCUCGUGUGAAUAGUUUUCAAUCGAUCCAAUCUUCCUCCUUAUUGCUUUUAUGUUUCAUGGUAUCUUUUCGAUUACUAUGAUUUCCAAUAAUCCUAAUUGUAGAGUACAAUUAAUCUCCAAACAAUUCUUAAAUGUCAAAAGAUGCAAAAACUUAUGUUAAUUAGUAUAUAUGCAAUUUAUUUUUAUUUUCUAUCAUGAAAAAUAAUGCCUAAAAGUUCCAGAUACGUAUUACAUAUAUAUAGGAUAUCGACAUAACACGUUGUAUCAUGCUUCUUGACUUUGACGUUUUUAUUUACUUUAAAUGUCACCCUUCCGAUACUGUACUCUUAAUUAUUUAGUAACAAUACUAAAUAAAGUGAAUAGAUAUGUUUUGUUUUAAAAAAAUACAUUUUUUGUUCCAAUAUUUUCCAUAACAGAUGCCGUGAGGGGAAAUAGGAGUUCUAUUUUUUAUUGUUAAUUCAAUAAUCGGUCACAUCCUAUUAUUUCUAUGUUAGCAUUAAAAUAGUAAAAAUAUACUAAGGGAGCUUUAUACAAACCGAUUUAAUUUCUCACAACUUACAAACCAAAUGAACCUAUUACUAAAGAGAAAAGAUAGUGACAAAAAGUUUUUAUCCAACACUUAAUCUUUUUCUUUGCAAUUUGUCGCGAGGUGAUGGUUGCACAAACCGAUCGACCUUCUCGUUUAUUUAAUUUUAAUAAACAAAUAGUUUUGACGUUAUCACCAACCAUAUUAAAAUGUGAUUGGUCACCAAAAAAUAAAUAAAUAAAAAAGAUGGUCUACGUAACUUUAUGAGAUUUAAAUUCGAGAGUCAGUUAUGUGUAACACUCUACAACAUCCAUAAAAUUGUUACUCAAUUUUAUCUUUUAUACUAAUUUAAAAGGUUCACAAAACAAAGUUUUUUAUUCAGGUUUUUUUUUUUUUAAAUGUCUCAUAGUUAUCAAUUCACAUUCAAGAAAAUAAAACCUAAACAUGAAUUGACAAUUAUGGAUGGUAUAGGAGCCAUUAGAAAAAUGAAGUUUAUUUUUGUUUCAAAAGAUAAUUUUUUAUAUUCUCCUCAAGAAUAUUAAAAUAACAAAAUAUUUUAAUCUUCAUCAUAGAUAUCUAAUGAGAAAUUUCACGUAUCUAAAAAUUAAUAAAUUCAUAAAAAACACUACUCAAUCUCAUUUAAAAGUUUGAAAUAAUUUAUAAUUUUAAAGACAAUUUAUUAAUUAAAUUUUAAAUAGACAAAUUUCAUGUAUUAAAGGGAUUUAAACUAUAAAACACAUAAAAAAACAAUACUUUUUCUCUUAUUUAAAUCUUUAUAUUUAAAUUGAAAAAUAAAUAAUAAUAGUAGUAAUAGAGACAAAACAUUGUGAAAUUUGAGAAAUACUUGUUAAAUAAAUAAGAUAAUAUGGUGAGAUAAAAUAAUACAUACAGAUUGAGAUAAAAUAAAUACAUAAAAUAAAUAGAAGUAAAAUAAAGCCGGAUGCAAAUAAAUAAAGGCAAAAUAAAGUGAUGCAAAAAUAUGUGAGAUACCAGGAUGCAGGAUGCAAGAUAAUUAAUUAAUGCAGUCGAUGUAAUUAACGCAUGAUAUCAGACUAAUUAAUUAAUGUAUAAUGCAAAUAACUAACGUAGGAUGCCAAAUGACCAAAUAAUUGAUGGUGCCAUGAUACAAAUAAUUUGAAUGAACAAUCAACACAGACCAAAUGAGUGCUAAAUAAUUACAAGAUUAAUUAAUUAAUGUAGGAUAUUAGCCCAAAUGGGUGUCAAAUAAUUAACGAUGACAGAAUGCUAAUUAAUUAAUGCAAUAUUCAAAUAAUUCGAAUGAAUAAUUAACACAUGAGACCAAAUGGGAUGACAAAUAAUUACAUGAUGCUAAUUAAGUAAUAGGUUAAACGAGUGCCAAAUAAUUAAGGCAGAUGCCAUACAAGGUCAAACAAUUAAAGUAUUACAAAUGAGUAGCAAGUAAUUAAACUAAAAAAAAAACACACACUAAAUUGUAAGUCGAAGUAAUUAAAUUAACCUAAAUAAAAAAACUUACUUAUCAAAUAUACUUUGCUUAAAUCCAAUAAAAUUGAAACCAUGCUUUAUUUCUUUCUCGCUACUUUCAAAUGCUUCCAAAUCACAAUCCAAUAAAAUUGCUACUUUCAAAUGCUUCCAAAUCACAAUCCAAUAAAAUUGAAACCAUGCUUUAUUUCUUUGUCGCUAUUUUCAAAUUCUUCCAAAUCACAAGUAGAUUAAAAGAAUUUUUUUUUUUUACAUUAAAAGUGUACCUUUCCUCUAAAAAUAGUAGGAGUGAAGACUACCAGAAAUAAAGCAGGAGAGUGGGGGUGUGGAAGAAUAGGAGCCUGGUGAUAAAAGAAAAGUAGUGGAUAUGGUUGAGAAAAAUAGGAAAGGAAAAAACUUAUUCAUUUUUCAAAAUUCGUUUUCGUUUUAAUUUUGUUUUAUAUAUUUUUUAGAAAAGUUAAAUUCAAUUUCUUUUAUAAAAAUAAAACAUAAAUAAAUAAAUAAUAGAAAAUGUAUGAUAAAUAUGGUAUCUCUGCCAUUUUAGCCCUAAAAUAAACUCUUUUUCUAUUAACUGUUGUCAAAAUUUUAAAAGAAAUGAAAAAAAUAUAUAAUAAAAUUGUCAUGAUAAAAACAUUCAAAUGUUCCACAUAUAAGUAAGAAUAAAAAAUUAUAAAACUAUUGUAGAUAUUUUUAAAUGUACAGAGAAAGUUUUGAAUGUCUUGGAUGAUAUUUUGCUCGAAAAUAUUUGGAUCCGUUGUAAAAAUAGAAAAGAAAAUAAUAAUAAAACUCAUGUCACUAAUAAUCAUGACUAUGUUAAAGUUUUUAAAGGAUUCGUAAAUAACUAAAUUAUUUCCUUUUAUUCUUUAAAAUUAUCUUGAUUUCUCUACUGUCUUUAUUAGUCUUUUGGUUUAGACGAGUCUUUUUGGUUUAGAUGAGUCUUUUGGUUUUUAUCAUCUAAACAAAUUAUAAUUUUAACAUGCAUAUGCACUCGACACUAUAAUCUGUAAUCUUUACUUGCAACGUUACCAAAUAAGUUACUACUUUCAAUGGUUUAGUAUUACUUUUACUUCCCCACUACUAAUUUCUCUCUCAUUUAAUUCAAUCUGCUACCCAUACUGUAUUGAUUAAAACAAUAUUGUUUGCCUAACUCAGGGAAACUCCUUUUUCUAGAAUAUAAACUUAAGUGUGUGAUUACUAUUCAAACAUUUGACUUUACUAAAACAGCCAUUGAUGGGUUUAAUUAAGUAAACCAUUAUCUCACUUCAACCAUUCAAAAAUCCACACUUAAUUACUAGCAGUUGAGGGGGUGUUUGGUGCCCCUAAGAGAAAAUAUAAUUAAGUUUGCAAGUUAUGUACAUAGCUCACGUUUAGAUUCAAUGCUUAGUUUUUUGGCUUUAGGCUUUAUUUGUAAUACCAAACUUAUUUCGUGUGAACAUUUUUUAAUUGAUUAUCUAAAUGCUCCUUCUCAUUGCUUUUACGUUUCAUUGUCUUCAUUUACGUUCUAUUUUCGAUUACUCUGAUUUUCUAUAAUCCUAAUAGUACAUUACAACUACUCUCCAAACAACCCUUAAACGUCCAAAGAUGCAAAAGUUUUGUUAAUUAGUAUAUAUACAAUUUAUUUUAUUAUCUACUAGAGAAAAGACAAAGCCCAAAAGGACGAAAGAUAUAUUACAUAUGGGCACAAAUAUAUCAGAUAUCGACUUAACACGUCAUAUCACGCUUCUUAUUGAUUUUGCCAUUUUUAUUUGUUUUGAAUGUCAAAAUUACUCCUUAACAAGAUACAAUAGUGCACUUGUUGAUUACUACAAUAACCUUCCAAUGUUUUUUUGUUUUAAGAAAAAACCGAACCCUUCAAACUAGGAAUAACCUUCCAUGUUGUAGUCUUGAUUAUUUAAAAAACAAUACUAAAAGUAGUGAAUAAAUAUGUUUUGUUUUGAAAAAUAAAUACAUUUGUUAUUAUAAUAUUUUUAUUUUCUAUUAAUAAUUUAAGGUUAAUUUUUAUUCGUAUAACAAAACACCAAAAUAUUCACCGUUCUUGUCACAAAAUAAAAAUACUCAUGAUAUUUUCAUAAAUUUCAGGUUUGCUUUUGAAUAAUGAAGACAAUUUUUCACUUUUUUUUUUUAUUCUUCUUGCGAUUUAUUCAUCUUCUCUUUAUAUUAUUAAUUUCUAAUAUUAUUACUUCUUCAUUUUACAAUAUUUUUUAUAUUUUAUGUAAAUAUUUACCAAUUUCUUCAUUUCCACCUCCAGAAAAUCUCUUCCUUCUUCUUCAUUUAUCAUAUUUUUUUUUUUUCUUUUUGGUAUAAGAUCUAAAUGAUAUUGAAAAAGAUCUAAAUGAUUCUAUACCAGUAUAUCUAAACGAUCAGUUAUCUAGUUCAGAUGGAUAAAUAUAAACCACUAUCACUACAAGACCGCUUAAACUAGAUACAAGGGUACAAAAUCGUUUAUAAUGGGUAUAAAGGGUACAAGAUCGUUUAGGCUUGGUACAAGGGUACAAAAUUGUUUAGACUUGCUAUAAGAUCGUUUAGACUUGCUAAAAGAUCGUUUAGACUUGCUAAGAUAUUGUUUAAACUAGGUACGAGAUAGAUUAGUCUAGGUAAAAAAUCAUUUUUUCACGCGUCUGUGACCGAUUAAUUGUGAAGAUAUUUUUGUUAUUUCACGUUGUGGGCUUGUGAGAUUUUUCCCCCUUUAAAAUUGUUUUAUAUGUUGUAAAUAUUUUUUUUCGUUUUGUUCUAUUUUUUAUAAAGCCCCUUAAUUUAAUAAUUGGGCACAUUAUAUUAUUUCAACUUUAAUGUUGAAAUAGUAAAAAUAAUAUUCUCUUUCAGUGUAACUAACGAAAAAAACUAAGGGACCUUUCUAUAAUGGUUAAUUUUUAUAAAUAUAACGCACCGACAAAAUAUUUAUGGUUCGUGUGACAAAAUGAAAAAAUCUAUUAACCUGACUAUUUUUUUAAAAUAUUUCAGAUUUGUCCUUCUUUUUCAUCAUUUUUUUACUCUUCCUGCAAUUUUUUUCUUAUUUCCAUCAUCUUCUUCUCGUCUUUUGCAAUUUAUUUUAUAAUUUUUUCAAACUGUUAUUUGGUUUAAGAUCAUACACCAAAUAUAAAAGAUCUUUUUUUUUCAAACUGUUAUUAAGUUGCUUUAGAUCAUGUGACAAAUAUAAAAGAUUGUGAAAAAGAUUGUUGGGAUAUUUGAUAGCCAACUCUAAACGAUCUUUUAUAAAAAAAAAUAGUCAAAUCGUCUAACAAUGAAUCAUAAAAAAAUGGUUGAGAUUUGGCUGUCCAAAAUUGAACGAUCAAAUCUAAACAACUAUAUAAAAAAAAUAGCAAAUUUGCUAUUUUUGUACACUAUAUCAUUUAGAUUUACAAAUUUGCAGUUUUAAAUAUAAACGAUCGUGUACCAAAGAAUUUUAAAAAAAUUGUUUAGAUUUGGGUCUCCAAAUUUAAAUGAUCAAAUCUAAAUGAUCCUGUACAAAAUAUAAACAAUCGUUUUACAAAUUUAAACAAUCAAAUCUAAAUGAUCGAGUCCAACAAAUAAAUGAUUAUUUUCAAAAAAUCUUGAAAAAAAAUUGUUGAGAUUUGGCAACCCAAAUUUAAACAAUCAAUGUAAACGAAUGUGUACCAAAAAAUUAUUUAAGAAAUCGUUAAGAUUUAGAUUUAAUCGUUUAGAUUAAGAAAGCCAAAUCUAAUUAAACGAUCAUGUAGGAAAGAAUAGACAAAUCUAAUCAAUCAUUUUUCAAAUAAUAAACUAUCUUUUUCCAAAUACAUUACGACGCACGUUGGAUGCCAAUUAUUUUUUUUGAUAAGGAUACUUUGGGAUAGCUGAUGCAAGGAUAUCUCCACAUGGGGGACAUAUCAAAGCAUCAGCUAUAGCCCCACUUCAUUAAAAAUAAAAGGUGAUUACAAGAAGCGGGGGAAUAGAAAGGCUAGAGGACAACCCGAUUAUCCCGAAACGAAAGCAUGUAAAUUUAAAGCAAUAGAACUAGGCGGGUAAUUUUUGAAAAGUGAAGAUCGGCUUGUCCAUAGACCGGUUGUGGCUUGAAUGUCUUCCCAAACCGAGACAACUGAUUUUUCUUCUCCCUUAAAAGUCCUUCUGUUUCUCUCAUUCCAGAUGUUCCACAGGGUGGCAGCCACCAGAUGUUGUUCAAUGGUUUGCCUUUAUUAUUUUCCUUUUCCUUUGAAAGGCUCUUUGCAUAACACAGAGGGAUCUGUAAGGAGGAAAGAUUUGUCCAGAAUCACUUCAACUUUUUUCCACAGGUUUGUUGAGAAUGGGCAGAGGGAGAAUAGAUGGUGUCUGUCUUCCUCAGCAGCUUUGUAGAGUAUAAACCAAGAGGGGUGAAUAUUCCAAGUAGGGUUGGAUGCCAAUUAAUCGGGGCAUUUUUGAAAUUUUCUAUUGUAGGUCUGUGGACUUUUUCUAUUUUUGAAAUUAUUUUAUACGGUAUAAAUAUUUUGUCGUUUUGUUAUAUAUAUUUUUGAAAAGAAUACUUUUAUAAAUUUAUUUAAUAAUAUUACUCAAAAGAAAAGCCAGUGACAAAAAAAAUUAAGAAUUUUUUAAAAAUAGAAAAAUUUACAAACUAUUUAGAAUCUAUAGAACAAAAUCACUAAAAUAAUACUGUUUACAAUUGAUUUUGAUUUUUCUAUGAAGUGUGACUAUUUUGUCAAAUAUUUUAUUUUUAAAAAAAGACAUUUUUAAAAAUAGCAAAAUAAAGUAAAAUAUUUACGAACUAUAGUAAUAUCUUGGAUUCUAUCACUCAUAAUUUUCUAUCACUAUAGCCUAUCAACGACUAUUAGUGAUAGAAUUUUCUAUAGGUUGUAAAUAUUUUGUAAACUCUACUAUUUUUAAAAAUUUCCCUUUUAAAAAUUUCCCAAGAAUUUACUCUUUUUCUUUUUCUUUUUUUUUUUCAUAGAAAAACUUGUUUCCUAUCACUGUUGACCAUAUUUUAGAAAAAUGAAAAACAAAAUUACUAUAAAAUGUCCCCGAUAAAAAAAUUCAAAAGUUCCAAAUUUAAUAAUAAAAAAACAAUAACAUACAUGUUUUAAAUGAUAAAACUAUUGUUGAUAUUUUUAAGUGUAUCAAAGUGUUCAAUGUCUCUCGAUGAUAGACAGAAAAAAAUGAUAGUACUAUAUAAGUGCCAUUUUGCUCGAAAAUAUUUUAGUUCUAUAAUUAAAAACAACCCUGAGCUAAAAUAAUCAAAACUAAUUAGGGUGUAUAUAUAAUAAGGAAAAAUAUUGUAAAGACAUGACUAAAAAUAGUGUUUAUUUGAGACAUUUUUAAACAUAUAGCUUAAAAGUUGUGUAUCCAUUUGACGCAAUUAUUCAAAAACAAAACCCAAAUAUUAAUCAAGAAAAGGAACGGGUGAACACAAAUCAAUGCCAAUUUAAAUAAAAUAAAAAUGGGAGAGAAGAGUUAAGACGUUUUAAAACUUGGUAGAAUAGGGUUAGGAAGUUGAAUAUUAACACAUUGUUUAAUUUUGAUAUAUAGUUGAAUUUUGAGAGCAUAUCCAAGUUGGGUUUAUAAUUAAAACUCAUAUCCAAAUUACCAUAAUUUAACCACACCACAUUUCUUCCUAUAAAAACCCUUCCAUCACAAAACUUUAUUCUCCAUCCCUGCUUCAUAAACAAAAACCAUUUCACUUUUCUUCUCUUCACAAAAAGAAAAAAUGUCUUCGUCCAACAAAUCCUUUUCACUUGCUCUCUUCUUCUGUCUCAACCUAAUUCUCUUCUCUUCUCUUGCUAUUGCUCAACCAAUUGUACCAGCAUCGAGCCCGACCCCCAAUUGCUCCCGCAAUGUACGUGUAUGUGCAAGUGUACUUAAUAUUGUUAAUCUAACCAUUGGCCAAAACCUAGGUCCAUGUUGUCAAUUGAUUCAAGGGCUAGCAGCUGCUGAGGUUGAUAUUUGUAUACAGACUGCCAUAAGUAAUGCACUUAGAGCAAGUCUUUCAGGCCUACCCCCUGUGAACCUAUCCGUUGAGUCGUUCGUGCUCCGUAUAUUGCUCAGCAGAUGCAACAGAGCUACCUGAUUUAAGUUUAUCUUCUAAUUAGUCUAUACAACUUCAAGAUCAGAAAAUAAAAUAAAAUAAGAAGUUGUAAUGCUUUAUUUUAUGUAUGCACUUAUGUUCUUUUAGUUCAAUAAGUUUGGAGCGUAAGUAUGAAGGUUAGGAUUGAAACACCAUCAACCUUGAAGUUGAAGGUACAUAGAUAUGGAUAUCUUAACAAUUAAGACUAUACUCUCUUCUUCUUCGUCUUUUUUUUUUCUUCAUGUAAUUUGGGCAAGCUAAUAUUAUGAAAUAAAACUAAUGUUGUUGCACCUGUUUAUUUAUAUUUACCAA